rnacentral:rRNA from 1 species
CAGCCGCCGCGGGAAUACGAAGGGUGCAAGCGUUAAUCGGAAUUACUGGGCGUAAAGCGUGCGUAGGCGGUGAGUUAAGUCUGCUGUGAAAUCCCCGGGCUCAACCUGGGAAUGGCAGUGGAUACUGGCUCGCUAGAGUGUGUCAGAGGAUGGUGGAAUUCCCGGUGUAGCGGUGAAAUGCGUAGAGAUCGGGAGGAACAUCAGUGGCGAAGGCGGCCAUCUGGGACAACACUGACGCUGAGGCACGAAAGCGUGGGGAGCAAAUAGGAUUAGAUACCCAGUAGUCCCUGUCUCUUAUACA